UGGGGAAUUUUGGACAAUGGGCGAAAGCCUGAUCCAGCAAUGCCGCGUGUGUGAAGAAGGCCUUCGGGUUGUAAAGCACUUUUGUCCGGAAAGAAAUCCUUGGCUCUAAUACAGUCGGGGGAUGACGGUACCGGAAGAAUAAGCACCGGCUAACUACGUGCCAGCAGCCGCGGUAAUACGUAGGGUGCAAGCGUUAAUCGGAAUUACUGGGCGUAAAGCGUGCGCAGGCGGUUUGCUAAGACCGAUGUGAAAUCCCCGGGCUCAACCUGGGAACUGCAUUGGUGACUGGCAGGCUAGAGUAUGGCAAAGGGGGGUAGAAUUCCACGUGUAGCAGUGAAAUGCGUAGAGAUGUGGAGGAAUACCGAUGGCGAAGGCAGCCCCCUGGGCCAAUACUGACGCUCAUGCACGAAAAGCGUGGGGGAGCAAAACAGGAUUAGAUACCCUGGUAGUCCACGCCCUAAACGAUGUCAACUAGGUUGUUGGGGAUUCAUUUUCCUUAGUAACGUAGCUAACGCGUGAAGUUGACCGCCUGGGGAGU
rnacentral:rRNA from 1 species